rnacentral:rRNA from 1 species
UACGUAGGUGGCAAGCGUUGUCCGGAUUUACUGGGCGUAAAGAGCGCGCAGGCGGUCGUUCAAGUCGCGUGUGAAAGCCCCCGGCUCAACUGGGGAGGGUCACGCGAUACUGAUCGACUCGAAGGCAGGAGAGGGAAGUGGAAUUCCCGGUGUAGUGGUGAAAUGCGUAGAGAUCCGGAGGAACACCAGUGGCGAAGGCGACACGCUGGGCCGUACCUGACGCUAAAGCGCGACAGCAUGGGGAGCAAACGGG